UACGGGGGGAGCAAGCGUUGUUCGGAUUUACUGGGCGUAAAGGGUGCGUAGGCGGCGCGGUAAGUCGGGUGUGAAAUCUCGGAGCUUAACUCCGAAACUGCAUUCGAUACUGCCGUGCUUGAGGACUGGAGAGGAGACUGGAAUUUACGGUGUAGCGGUGAAGUGCGUAGAUAUCGUAAGGAAGACCAGUGGCGAAGGCGGGUCUCUGGACAGUUCCUGACGCUGAGGCACGAAGGCCAGGGGAGCAAACGGG
rnacentral:rRNA from 1 species